AUUGAACGCUGGCGGCAGGCCUAACACAUGCAAGUCGAACGGUAACAGGAAGAAGCUUGCUUCUUUGCUGACGAGUGGCGGACGGGUGAGUAAUGUCUGGGAAACUGCCUGAUUGAGGGGGAUAACUACUGGAAACGGUAGCUAAUACCGCAUAACGUCGCAAGACCAAAGAGGGGGACCUUCGGGCCUCUUGCCCUCGGAUGUGCCCAGAUGGGAUUAGCUAGUAGGUGGGGUAACGGCUCACCUAGGCGACGAUCCCUAGCUGGUCUGAGAGGAUGACCAGCCACACUGGAACUGAGACACGGUCCAGACUCCUACGGGAGGCAGCAGUGGGGAAUAUUGCACAAUGGGCGCAAGCCUGAUGCAGCCAUGCCGCGUGUAUGAAGAAGGCCUUCGGGUUGUAAAGUACUUUCAGCGGGGAGGAAGGGAGUAAAGUUAAUACCUUGGCUCAUUGACGUUACCCGCAGAAGAAGCACCGGCUAACUCCGUG
rnacentral:rRNA from 1 species